CAAAUAUGGACAGAAUAAACACAGCAAGCCCACGAAACUCUGCUGCUCUGCUCAGAGCACACAGCAGCUACCCAGUACACUCAUGAAAAAAUUCAGAUAUCUCACCUCUCUAUAGGAAUUUUUAUCUACAGUUCCCAGCCUGCUGCAUAAAGGAGGGAAGAGCAGUGUGUCUGUUUUUCUGAAGAGGAGGUGGGAUGAAUAAAAGGAAUUUCCUUUAAGCUCAAGAUUUAAACUGAGCUAACAGAUUUUGUCAAGCGAUCGGUGCCAUACUUUGGACAAGAAGAUGCUUAAAUGGAAAAGAACAGACAGUUCAGCCCACCAAAUGCUCUGAGUGAGGCAGUGGGGUAGCUUCCUGGAGGAACUUGUUCUUGCUAUAGGCACAUCUACAAAAUUAAACUGCUCAGAAACAGGGAACUGUGGGCUUUGAGUGCUUGUCUUUGGUGCUGAGCAUAUGUAAAAUACUGAGACUGCUGGACAUUGAACUUUUUUGAUUUACCCAAAGGGAAUUUCUGGAGAAGAUGAUGGAAGUGUCUCCCUGACCUCUCCUUGGGCUCCUCAGGUGUAUUGUUGCUCUAUUGUAUUGGCUCCCUUGGUGAUUUCUGCACUUGCACAGAGCAGCAAAGUACAAAAUAAUCCUCUCUGUGUUUGGAUGCAGCUGAAAACCACUUAUGUCCCAACCUUCUCAGAGCUGCUUUUGUCAUUUCUCUUCAACACAUGCUGUUCAAGACUGAGGCCAAAGGAAGUUGAUUGCAGACUUUGCCCCUCAUUCUGUGUUAUGCCAAUAUUCCAUGGAAAGAGAACUGGUUUGCAGCUCACUCCAGAUUCCACUCAGCCCCUGGGGUUUGUGCAUUUCUCCAAUCUCAGUGUGGAGAGUCCACAGCACACAUGAAUCAACAAUCCCAAAUGCUUGUCUUUGGUCCGGGAAAGCAUCAUCAGAGUGGGAGGAAUUGCUUGCAAUUUACUCUGCAAAAGGCUUCAAAUAACCCCAAAUUAUUCACCUUUUGAAAUCUUUUAAAAGUCCCUCCAACUGAAGCCAGUUUUUUCAACUGGAUGGGCAGUACGGUGUGAAGCAAUGAGAAGGAGGAGGAGGCAGGUUCUCAAACAGCA